UACGAAGGGUGCAAGCGUUAAUCGGAAUUACUGGGCGUAAAGCGUGCGUAGGUGGUCUUUUAAGUCCGUUGUGAAAGCCCUGGGCUCAACCUGGGAACGGCAGUGGAUACUGGAAGGCUGGAGUACGGUAGAGGAGGGUGGAAUUCCCGGUGUAGCGGUGAAAUGCGUAGAGAUCGGGAGGAACAGCAGUGGCGAAGGCGGCCCUCUGGACCAGUACUGACGCUGAGGCACGAAAGCGUGGGGAGCAAACAGG
rnacentral:rRNA from 1 species